rnacentral:rRNA from 1 species
UACGUAGGGAGCGAGCGUUGUCCGGAAUCAUUGGGCGUAAAGCGCGCGUAGGCGGCCCGAUAAGUCCGCUGUGAAAGUCAACGGCUCAACUGUUGGAUGCCGGUGGAUACUGUCGGGCUAGAGUACGGAAGAGGCAAGUGGAAUUCCUGGUGUAGCGGUGGAAUGCGCAGAUAUCAGGAGGAACACCUAUAGCGAAGGCAGCUUGCUGGGACGUUACUGACGCUAAGGCGCGAAAGCGUGGGGAGCGAACAGG